rnacentral:lncRNA from 10 species
GCGUGAGCCACCAUGCUUGGCCCAGUCACCGAUCUUGAAUGACAAGAAUUUCAUUUCGUUGGAGUUCGGGAAGAGAACAAACCACAGAGGCUCUUAAAGUCUCUUCCAAGGACAAUAAAAUGCACUUAUGAUCAGAUAUUAGCAGGUGUACAAAAUUAACAUUUGAUGAGCUGGAGAAGCAGGUUUGAGGUGGAGCUUCUAGGAACAAUCAUCAACCCCAGAAUCCUACAGCUUCUUCUGUGGGUGAACAUCAUAGCUGCCCCACAGGAAGUUGCUGACCAGGAGCACAUUGCCUCCUCUUCUACAAUUCAUGCCGAUGAUGCAGAUGACUCCUCUACCCAAUUUUACUCAAUUGUGAAUUCAAAUCUCAAAUGGGAGCAUCUGCUUGGCAGAACUUAUGUUCUAUUUUUCAUCUAGCUGAAAGGAGCUCUGGGAAAUGUCUGGUUAGUGUUCCAGUUUUGGCCAUAGCGCAGGACAUACUAGAAGAAGGUUGCAAUGAAUAUUGGCUGAGCCAAUCAACAGUGCCUGUGGGGAGAACAUUUCCAAAGAUGCUGAUGUGAGAAAAAGAGCAUGGCUGCUUCAGUAAGGCUGGAGCAUAAUAACUUGAUGAGAGAAAUGGAGGUAUCUAGACUCAACAUGGAUGAACCUUGAAAACCUGAUGCUAAGUGAAGCCAUCACAAAGGACUACAUAGUGUGUGAUUCCCUUCAUAUGAAAUGUUCAGAAUAGGCAAAUCUAUAGCGACAGAAAGUAGAUUAAUGGUUGCCUAGGGCUGAGGGAAUGAUCAGUAGAUUGGUGGAUAGUGGAUAAGGGUUUCUCUUUGGGAUAAUAAAAUGUUAUAAAAUUGAUGGUGGCAAUGGGUGCAUAACUCUGCAAAUAUUCUAAAAGCUAUUGAAUUGUGUGCUUUAUUUUUUAU